ACGGAGGAAGGUGGCUUCUCAGGCACGGGGGGAGCACCGGCCAAGUGGGUAGUGGGGAGGCCCAGAGUCCAGCAGCUGCACCCAGGCUUGCGUGUCUGGGGAGGACAGCCCGGCCCAGGCUCUUUCUGCACUGAAGCUGGAACCCACCAGGGUCGGGUUGCUCUGUUAGCUCCAGCACACGGAGCAAACACACAAAGAUUAGCAAACUUCUUUCCGGUGAGCUGAGUCAAAGCGGAUGAGCAAACACGGGCGCCCUGUGAGUCUGGCGUCUUCACCUGUGAGAAGGCAGACAAGCCCCUCACUGGCCCCGGAGGAGGAAUCACUGUUUGGUUUGAGAGGCGAGAGUGAGGCCCAGCGGGGUCAGGAGAAGGGCCCGGGCGCCCCAGGCAUGGGGGAAAUGCCCAGGAGAAACAGCCAGAACCAGGGAGGAGCCUUCCUGGCACACUGGAGAGCUUCCUCGGGAAGGCAGACGCGUUCGCAGAGGGCCUGGCCCACGGGGGUCGGCUGGCAGGAGCGAGGAGCAGAGAUCGCAGGAGCCACGGUGGUGGGUGAGCCCUGAACUAUACAUCAGACUCGGAAAACGGCAGCGUUGCAGGGGACAUUCAGCUAACCGUGAGGCCUGAUGAGGGCGUGGCACACACACAUCUAUGCCCUGAGCUGGGACGAGCUGCACAGAGCGGGCUGGGGGCUGCUCCCUGGAAAAGAGGCAGCAGGUCCCUGGGACGCCUGGAGCCGCUUCUCCCGGUGCCAGCCUUGCCCUCUGCGUACUGGACAGCAACAAGCCCAGGCACAGACAAAUGAAAGAGCCCCGGCUGCUGCCUAGCCUCUGGGCCCCUCCAAGGCAUGGAAGAAUUAAUCAGAUUGGAAGCUGCUGCCAAAUGUACCCACCGGCUGAAAAGACCCGCUGCAGUACAAACAAACCCAAUCUCCUGCUCUGGGCAGAUGCAACCUUGGAAAUAAAGACGCGCUUAAACCCCGCCUCUCCCAAGAGGGCCCCCGGCUGACACCCAGUUAUCUUCCUACCAUUAGCCAAGGAACAUUUGGAGGUUGGGUUCUCAUUGACACCCCUGGAAGCCAGGCUGAAUGUGGAUCCCACCCUGGAGGAGUUCCCCCCGACUCCCCUGCAGCUGACCAGGGCCUUCAUCUAGGUGCUCACUUGCAGGGAAGAGCUCCAAGGAAGACCCGAGGGUUGGCUGUGGGGCCACCAGAGCAAGGGUCUGUCCCUCCAUCAGCAGGAAGAAGGGAGAUGGCAUUGGUUCUAGUGCCUAUGACGCUGGGAAAGGUCUGCUGGGUGUGCAGUCAGAGGGGCUGGCUCGGUUGGACUCCCAGGCCUGCCGUGUACCAGGUGGAGGACGUUGAACAACCCAUCUCAACUUUCUAGGCUUUGGUUUCCCGGUCUGUAAAAUGGGCUCCCACCUGCCUCACUGCAUUGCCUGGACAGUCAGAUGAAACCCAACAACCUCAUCCAGCGAAGGGACUCCACACCUUCAGGAAGAUGUAACUGGUCCCCAGAGCAGGUAUCUGUCUGUCACAGUGUUUGGGGACUGUCAGGACUUUAUGAAGAAAAUUAAAAGUGUUUUGCAGCUGGGUGCGGUGGCUCACACCUGUAAUCCCAGCACUUUGGGAGGCCGAGGCGGGUGGAUCACCUGAGGUCAGGAGUUUGAGACCAGCCUGGCCAACACGGUGAAACCCUGUCGCUACUAAAAGUACACAAAAAUUAGCUGGGCGUGGUGGUGGGCACUUGUAAUUCCAUCUACUUGGGAGGUUGAAGCAAGAGAAUGGCUUGAACUCGGGAGGAGGAGGUUGCAGUGAGCCGAGAUCGCACCAUUGCACUCCAGCCUAGGCUAAAAGAGCAAAACUCCAUCUCAAAAAAAAAAAAAAAAAAAAAAAGAAAGGAGAAAAAUGUGUUUUGCAGAACCUUGCUCUGGAAUAAUAAUUAUGUAUAUGUUUUAUUAGGCCAUUAACUAAAAUAUCUGUAUAAAUAUUCUGUCUUAUCAUAUGUGAUGCAUAGAUACAUACACUAAGAUAUAAAAAUAAAUUGUGGGGUUCUGGAUCCCCUCUCCACUUAGGGACUGGGGAACUCCUUAGCUAAGCUAAUUACCCCCGGAUCAAAAUUGGGGCCGCAUUGUUCUCUGUCCUGCACAGUUCCCUGCUCGAAUCGUUGCUUCCUCUGCCAGGAUCCUGGCUUUUCCUACCAGAGAAUGUUGAGGUUCUCUGUCAGUUUCGCUGUUAAUGUGUCUUCACUAAUCACGUUUCCGGGAGACUUGCCACCCCUAAAGGAGCCUGUAAAACACCUGUCCCCAGACCUAAGUCCUUGGGAAUGACCCUGUGUCUCUGCAUCAGGACACCUCUGCUGUUCCAUCAGCCACCCUUUGAGGUCCGUGCUAGAGCUCUGAGCAGGUUUUAGAAACUUAAGCUUUUGGUGUAAAGAAUAAUUUUCAGGCCAGUCUGCCCUGAAAGCAAUUUUUCCAAUGCACAGAAGUCUUGAACACUUACACCUAAUACCCAAUCCUCAAAUCAAACGUUAGUGGCUGUGUCAGUUAGUUUUUGCCAUGUAAGAAACCAGCCCAAAUCUCUGCAGCUUAAAAUCAGUGAUUUCUUGAGCUCAUGACUCUGUGGGCUGCCUGAGCCGUUUUGGGGGCUGGCUGGGCUGAACUCUUAUCUGCAGGGUAAUAUCAUGCUCUGUGGUCAGCUGGAAGGUUGGUUGGUGAUGACAUGAUCUCAGGUGGGCUCACUUGUUUGUCUGGUGCCUGGCAGAUGGUAGCCUGGGGCCCCUCAGUUUCCCCUUGUGGCCUGUGCAGCAGACUGCCUCAGGCUCACUGACUUGGUGGCCUCAAUGUUCCCAGUGUACUGAGUGGACAAACCCUAACACACUAGGGCUUUCCAAGCCUCUGUCUGCAUCACACCGAAGCCGGUCACAUGGGCAGGCCCAGGGUCAGUGUGGGAGGGGACAGCACAGGCCAAGGAGAGAAGGAGGGAGGGCUGUGGCCUUUUUUAGUCUAUGGAAAUUAUUGUUUAUUUAAGGAAGAUAUGGUUGGGGGAGGUAGGGGAAGCGGGAAGGGAACAGCUGUCACAAGUGGCUAUGGGCUCACUAUCUUUGCUGCUUGCUGGUAUUAGGGGGGCACAUGCUAGUACCAGCCAAAGUGCCAUGAAAAUCCGCCAAUUCUACCCCAAGAGGGUGUCCAGCACUUUGUGACAAGGCUGCACUGCACAGUGGGGGCCAAAGCAGGUGAGCAGAAGCUGGAGGAGAAAUAGGAUGGAGAAGCUGGAGGGUGGGGUCCCAGGAUGCCAGAGACCAGAG
rnacentral:lncRNA from 10 species